rnacentral:rRNA from 1 species
AUUGAACGCUGGCGGCAUGCUUUACACAUGCAAGUCGAACGGUAACAGGGUGCUUGCACCGCUGACGAGUGGCGAACGGGUGAGUAAUGCGUCGGAGCGUGCCGAGUAGUGGGGAAUAACGCAGCGAAAGUUGUGCUAAUACCGCAUACGUACUGAGGUAGAAAGUGGGGGACCUUCGGGCCUCACGCUAUUCGAGCAGCCGACGUCUGAUUAGCUAGUAGGUGAGGUAAAGGCUCACCUAGGCGACGAUCAGUAGCGGGUCUGAGAGGAUGAUCCGCCACACUGGGACUGAGACACGGCCCAGACUCCUACGGGAGGCAGCAGUGGGGAAUUUUGGACAAUGGGCGAAAGCCUGAUCCAGCCAUGCCGCGUGUCUGAAGAAGGCCUUCGGGUUGUAAAGGACUUUUGUCAGGGAGGAAAUCCCUAGUGCUAAUAACACUGGGGGAUGACAGUACCUGAAGAAUAAGCACCGGCUAACUACGUGCCAGCCGCCGCCGUAA